AAGCAUAUCAAUAAGCGGAGGAAAAGAAACCAACAGGGAUUGCCUUAGUAACGGCGAGUGAAGCGGCAACAGCUCAAAUUUGAAAGCUGGCUCCUUCGGAGUCCGCGUUGUAAUUUGUAGAGGAUGAUUCGGCGAGGGCUCCCGCCUAAGUCCCCUGGAACGGGGCGUCAUAGAGGGUGAGAAUCCCGUAUGCGGUGGGUUGCCUUAGCCAUGUGAAUCUCCUUCGACGAGUCGAGUUGUUUGGGAAUGCAGCUCUAAAUGGGAGGUAAAUUUCUUCUAAAGCUAAAUACCGGCCAGAGACCGAUAGCGCACAAGUAGAGUGAUCGAAAGAUGAAAAGCACUUUGGAAAGAGAGUUAAAAAGUACGUGAAAUUGUUGAAAGGGAAGCGCUUGCAGCCAGACUUGUCCGCAGUUGCUCAACCGGUCUCCUGACCGGUGUACUCUUCUGCGGCCAGGCCAGCAUCAGUUCGGGCGGUCGGAUAAAGGCCCUGGGAAUGUAGCUCCUCUCGGGGAGUGUUAUAGCCCAGGGUGGAAUGCGGCCAGCCUGGACUGAGGAUCUCGCUUCGGCUAGGAUGCUGGCGUA
rnacentral:rRNA from 1 species